rnacentral:lncRNA from 1 species
ACGUUCCGAAUUUGGAGACCUCAAAUGGCAAAGGUGAAAUGGGCGUCAGCUCUCCGGAAUGAAGGAAUCUCUCCCAGGGUUUUCUGCUGGAUCACAGCAGGAGGAUUUGCUUUCCUGAAGCAUUGAGUGACGUGAAGAACCCAAAUCGGAGCCAGCGGCCACAUUCUUUCAAGGGAAAACCCUUUGGGUGCCCCUACGGUUCCCUUUCUAUCACCAUAACAAACCCCUUCUCCAUCCACUCAUCCCCUUUUGGGUUCGGAGGUUGACAGAUCCCUUCUGAAAUUCUCAUAUUGCACACAUGCCCUUCUUUCUUUACCUCUGAGGCAGCAAAGAUCCCACAGUGACUUAAUUCGGAGUGAGAUCAACAAUCUUAGACAUCCUAUAUUAACUUCACAUUGUUUCAUGUUGAUCAGCAGCAAAAAAAUAAAAUAAAGGAAUAGGAGUUUAUCUGUGGGAAUGCUCUGCAUUUUCACGCUUGGCUGAUUGAAGGAAGCUGGGAGGAAAUGUUGUGAAAUAAUCCCAAAUGAUGAGAAAUUGUGGGUAGGGGAGGGGGUGCCCUCUGUCCUGAUGAGCAGCAGGGACAAAGUAGAAAGGAAUAGGCAUGAGCUCAUUUCAUAUCUCUUUAUUUUAGGGCAUUGCUAACCAAUGCUGUCACAUUAUUUGGGGCCAGGAGUGGCUGCUGCCCCAUUGGUGCCCAGAAACCAAUGCUGCCCCAUUUGGGAUUGGGGUCUGCUCUCAGACCGCGUCCUCCAACCAACCCAUGGCUGAUAGCAGAGGGGCGACCAGCUCAACCCUCCAUUCCUACCCUUCUCUGCAGAAACCUGUUCCUGUCUAUAUAGGGAUCCCCAUCCCUCCUUCCAUCCUCGGCAUUUAGGUAGGCUAUAAUUAGGCUCUGGGAACGUCCCCCUGCUGUCAGCACAGCUGUCGUGCCUGCAAUGAUCCUUCCAGCUCUCUGCGGUCACGCAAAGCCUCCAGCAAUCCUAAAUACCCAUUUCCUGCCCUCCUGGGACAAACUGGGAGCUGCCAAAAAAUCUCCAGCCCCCCACGGACGUGACCAUCACAGCACCAAGGAGCAAAGCAAGCGCAACGUGAUUACGGUGCAGGUCGGGGUGGACAUUUGGAAGUGGUUCUGACUGGGAAGAGGACGUGAUGAUGGCAUCAGGUAGAGCUCACGAAGUGCUAUUUAUCAGCAAAGCAAUGUUGCAGAUCUGUUUUUUCCCAUUUUUCCCAUAUUUUUUCUCAUUCAGGGAAGAGGAACGCGGAUCUUGGUGAGUGAUUUUCUUCCUUUUUCCAUCAAAAAGUCUCUUUCCAUGCAUAGAAAU